AGUAGCCACGGGAAUACAGAGGGUGCGAGCGUUAAUCGGAUUUACUGGGCGUAAAGCGUGCGUAGGCGGCUUCUUAAGUCGGAUGUGAAAUCCCUGAGCUUAACUUAGGAAUUGCAUUCGAUACUGGGAAGCUAGAGUAUGAGAGAGGAUGGUAGAAUUCCAGGUGUAGCGGUGAAAUGCGUAGAGAUCUGGAGGAAUACCGAUGGCGAAGGCAGCCAUCUGGCCUAAUACUGACGCUGAGGUACGAAAGCAUGGGGAGCAAACAGGAUUAGAUACCCCAGUAGUCCCUGUCUCUUAUACA
rnacentral:rRNA from 1 species